GCAAACGGGUGCGGAACACGUACGCACUUCCUUUAAGCGGAGAAUAGCCCAGGGAAACUUGGAUUAAUACUCCAUAAGAUUAUGGUGUGGCAUCACACAGUAAUUAAAGCUCCGGCACUUAAAGAUGGGCGUGCGGCUGAUUAGGUAGUUGGCGGGGUAACGGCCACCAAGCCAACGAUCAGUAACUGGUGUAAGAGCACGACCAGUCACACGGGCACUGAGACACGGGCCCGACUCCUACGGGAGGCAGCAGUAAGGAAUAUUGGUCAAUGGACGCAAGUCUGAACCAGCCAUGCCCGCGUGGAGGAUGAAGGCCCUCUGGGUUGUAAACUUCUUUUAUCUGGGAAGAAACCACUCUUUUCUAAGGGUGUUGACGGUACCAGUUGAAUAAGCACCGGCUAACUCCGUGCCAGCAGCCGCGGUAAUACGGAGGGUGCAAGCGUUAUCCGGAUUCACUGGGUUUAAAGGGUGCGUAGGUGGCCAGGUAACGUCAGUGGUGAAAUCUCCGGGCUUAAACCGGAAAACUGCCGUGAUACUAUCUGUCUUGAAUGUA
rnacentral:rRNA from 1 species